UACGAAGGGGGCUAGCGUUGCUCGGAAUUACUGGGCGUAAAGGGAGCGUAGGCGGAUAGUUUAGUCAGAGGUGAAAGCCCAGGGCUCAACCCUGGAAUUGCCUUUGAUACUGGCUAUCUUGAGUGUGGGAGAGGUUAGCGGAACUCCGAGUGUAGAGGUGAAAUUCGUAGAUAUUCGGAAGAACACCAGUGGCGAAGGCGGCUAACUGGCCCAUUACUGACGCUGAGGCUCGAAAGCGUGGGGAGCAAACAGGG
rnacentral:rRNA from 1 species